AUGGAUGUACCUGGACUUCCUGGCCGACUGGGAUGCAGGCUGGAUGACGCAGCGCAGAGGACCGAGAAAACAUCUGGGAUGUGUGGGUGUGUCUGGCCCUCUCGAUUUGGAGUUGGGAGCGGCUGCCGGUUGGUCGCCCUGAGAAACUACCACGGACAGAGUGGACGGAGUAUGGCGAGGAUGGCGACCGUUCUCGAUACCCUACUGUCGCUUAUUCUUGGGACAAGGUUAAGGUCUUCUCGGGCAAGGGAAGUGCGAUGUACAAGGCCUUCACCAACGAGCUGGACAACCUGA
rnacentral:rRNA from 1 species